GGGGAUUUAGCUCAGCGGCAUAAGCACCUGCCUUGCAAGCAGGCAGUUGUGAGUUCGAUUCCCAGUACCGA
rfam:Cavia porcellus supercont2_54 genomic scaffold, whole genome shotgun sequence.